CCCUUAGAUGUUCUGGGCCGCACGCGCGCUACACUGAUCGGUGCAACAAGCAUCCGUCCUUGGCCGACAGGCCCGGGCAAUCUUUGAACGCCGGUCGUGAUGGGGAUAGACCUUUGCAAUUUUUGGUCUUCAACGAGGAAUUCCUAGUAAACGCAAGUCAUCAGCUUGCAUUGAUUACGUCCCUGCCCUUUGUACACACCGCCCGUCGCACCUACCGAUUGAAUGGUCCGGUGAAAUCUUCGGAUCUGAGAGAUGUCUGAUUAAUUUCGGACGCCUUUUGGAAAAGUUGCUUAAACCUUACCAUUUAGAGGAAGGUGAAGUCGUANCA
rnacentral:rRNA from 1 species